CCGGGUUGCGUUGUACAUAAACCACAGCCCCAAGACUUGACAGUGAUGAAGUCGAAAACUACAUUUCAUUCUUUUGAUUUUAUGAAAGGAUGAGGAUGGCCCUCCUGCUCUUGCCGUGCGUCCUUCUGGUAGGCUCCAUCACGUGUCAGUCAUAUCAAGGAUAUGCGGACGACAUCGUUUACUGCACGUGUGAAAUCAGGUGCUGCCCCAAGUUCCUGUCGAAAUUGAGCAAGAGGAGUGUUUCGCAAGCCUUCUUCGACAUGGCCCAUGUUCGACACAAACGGUGUUGUGGGUGCACGCGGUGUCAGGACUAUCCAUUGAUGUCUGACAGACGAGGGAGGUCGAGUUUGAAUUAAUCAACUAUACCAGAUAUCGCAACAAUGCAUAUCUUAUAACACUAUAUCGCAGGUGUAUUGUAUUGACCGUUUCUUGUAAUCACUUGUACUUUCAAUAACGAUGGUGACAGAGCUCAAAAUAAAAAUCAGAUAAAUAAAAAUAAA